rnacentral:rRNA from 1 species
GGCUUGAUAGGAGAUAUGGUCUGGAAUGAUAUAUCUUUGAAAUUCGAGCCUGAGGAUGGGGCUGCGGCUGAUUGGUAGUUGGCGGAGUAACAGCCCACCAAGCCGAUGAUCAGUAAGGGCUCUUAGCGGAGAGGCCCUGAGAAGGAAUCUGAGACACUAUUCCUAGCCCUACGGGGUGCAGCAGUCGGGGAACUUUUACAAUGCUCGCAAGAGUGAUAAAGCAAGUCAGAGUGUUUAUCCUAUUUGGAUAAACUUUUGUCUGUUGCAAAAAGACAGACGAAUAAGGACUGGGCAAGACCGGUGCCAGCCGCCGCGGUAAUCCCGGCGGUCCAAGUCGCAGCCACAAUUAUUGGGUCUAAAACAUUCGUAGCUUGUUCAAUAAGUUUCUUGUGAAAUCUUAUCUCUUAAGGAUAAGGCGUGCAAGAAAUACUGUUGAACUUGGGACCGGAAGAAGUAAGAAGUAUGGUUGAAGUAGUGGUAAAAUACGUUAAUCUUAACCAGACUAACAACAGCGAAGGCAUCUUACUAGCACGGAUCUGACUGUGAGGAAUGAAGGCUAGGGGCGCAAAAUGGAUUAGAUACCCAUGUAGUCCUAGCAGUAAACACUGCUCACUAAACAUUAGCAUCUCCUCGAGAGAUGUUAGUGCUGCAGCGAAGGCGGAGAGUGAGCUACCUGGGAAGUAUAGUCGCAAGACCGAAACUUAAAGGAAUUGGCGGGGGGGUACCACAACAAGUGACGCGUGCGGUUCAAUUAGACUCUACACCGUGAAUCUCACCAGGAUCGAUAGCAUAAUGAAGGUCAGUCUGAAGGGCUUACCUGACACGCUAAGAGGAGUUGCAUGGCCGACUUCAGCCUGUGCCGUGAGGUGACCUGUUAAAUCAGGUAACAGGCGAGACCCGCGUGUAUAUUUACUAAUUAAUAGGACUAUAUACAGACUGCCCGGGUAACCGGGAGGAAGGUGCGGGCUACGUUAGGUGAGUACAGCCUAAAUACCCUGGGCUACACGCGCGCGGCAAUGCUAGAUGCAGUGAGAUGCGACUCCGAAAGGAGAAGCAAAUCCCAUAAUAUCUAGCCUAGUUCAGAUUGAAGUUUGUAACCCAACUUCAUGACGCUGGAAUUUGUAGUAAUCGUUCGUUAUCAGCGAACGGUGAAUAUGUCCCUGCUCCUUGCACACACCGCCCAUCAAACUAACCGAGUUAUGCCUUGGUGAGGUUCUUCGGAAACAAACCUCGGUAUGACAAGGUAAGUUAAGUUGACACAAGGUA